rnacentral:rRNA from 1 species
UACGUAGGUGGCAAGCGUUGUCCGGAUUUACUGGGCGUAAAGAGCGCGCAGGCGGUCGUUCAAGUCGCGUGUGAAAGCCCCCGGCUCAACUGGGGAGGGUCACGCGAUACUGAUCGACUCGAAGGCAGGAGAGGGUAGUGGAAUUCCCGGUGUAGUGGUGAAAUGCGUAGAUAUCGGAAGGAACAUCAGUGGCGAAAGCGGCUUCCUGGACCAGAACUGACGAUCAGGCUCGAAAGCGUGGGGAGCAAACAGG